rfam:Planomicrobium sp. ES2 genome assembly, contig: CONTIG000001
AUUAUAAUUUACAAGUGCCCUCAUAUAUGUCCGGUGAUAUGGAUCGGAUGUCUCUACCAAGUCUCCGGAAAUGACUUGACUAUGAAGGUGGAUGACGCAUGC